UUAAAGAUUAUGAAGAGGAAAAGUAAUUAAUAAUAAUUAUAACAGAGAAGGUUAGUUGCUGAGAUAACCCAUAAUUUUAUUAAUGAAGUGCACCUUGGAGUCGAAGGCCUGAAUAUGAUAAGUAGGGGCUUAUGGGUUCUCCCAUUAUAGAGAUAAGGUAUUAUAAGUACCUAAAAAGAGAUGGAUAUUUGAUUAUAUCUAAUCAGAGUGGAACCGUGGAAGUUUACCUUCUGCCUCUGUG
rnacentral:ncRNA from 1 species